rnacentral:rRNA from 1 species
AUUGAACGCUGGCGGCAGGCCUAACACAUGCAAGUCGAACGAGUGGCGGACGGGUGAGUAAUGUCUGGGAAACUGCUUGAUGGAGGGGGAUAACUACUGGAAACGGUAGCUAAUACCGCAUACCAUCGGAUGUGCCCAGGUGGGAUGAGCUAGUGGGUGGGGUAACGGCUCACCUAGGCGAAGAUCCCUAGCUGGUCUGAGAGGUUGACCGGCCACACUGAAACGGAGACACGGUCCAGACUCCUACGGGAGGCAGCAGUAGGGAAUAUUGCACAAUGGGAGAAAGCCUGAUGCAGCCACGCCGCGUGUAUGAAGAAGGCCUUCGGGUUGUAAAGUACUUUCAGCGGUGAGGCGUUACCCGCCGAAGAAGCACCGGCUAACUCCGUGCCAGCAGCCGCGGUAAUAC